rnacentral:tRNA from 1 species
GCCCCCGUGACGAAAUCGGUAGACGUAGCGGAUUCAAAAUCCGCCGCUGCAAGGCGUGCCAGUUCGAGUCUGGCCGGGGGCACCA